UUUUUGAAGUGUUACACAUUAUCUUUUCAAGAUAAAAAAGUUAAUUAAUUAACC
rnacentral:tRNA from 1 species